rnacentral:lncRNA from 1 species
AUAACACACCUCAGGUUUGCAAACAGAACGGGACACGAGGUGGCUGCCAGCAGACAGGUUUUCUGCCAGCUGCAGGAACCAAGCCCGCGUGUUUUCCACAGCCCUUCACACACCCAGCAACGGGCGGCAGGGAGAGGAGCUUCGUCACACGAGGAAGGGCUUAGGAACCUCGGAUGGCGUUUGGUGAGUCACAGGAUCACGGGAUGGCGGAAGGGACCCGCGAGGAUCACCGAGCUCAUUCUCCACACAGGACCACCCGAGCCUGUUCCGCGCCCUGCGGUGACGAUCCUUGGAGAGCUUCCCUCUCGGAUCUCGGCUCCAUCUCGCCGCGCCACGCAUUUAUCGCCGCUUAUCCACCCAUCUUCCCACCCGCCCUCACCGCGCUCCCUUCCCGGACCCGCCCGAGGUCCCCGGGGGCGGGCUUUGAACCAGCCCAGGAGCCGGGCCGGGUCCGAGCCUUCGGAGCGCGGCGAAUUCCCGCGGGAAGUUUGUGCCUCGCUGCGCUCCGUACCUCCCCGAGCUCUCGGCUCCACGUUGGCCGCGCAGGCGCAGCGACGCGCUCACCUGCUGAGGGAGGGGGGGAGCCGGCGGCGGCCGAGCAGGGCAGGGGUCGAGUGCCAUCGCCAUCUCAGCGCAGGGGGCGAGAGGAGGAGGGCAAGAAGGACGACAGGGAGGCAGCGCGCUCCCCUCGCCGCCAUGUUUAAGAAGCUGAAGCAGAAGAUCAGUGAGGAGCAGACGCCGCCGCGCGGCUCUGGGGGCCGGGCCGCCCCCAACCAACAUCAGGUAGCGCAGGGACCGCCGGCGGGCUGGGGGGUGCUUAGGGCUAGGGCUAGGGCUAGGGCUUGGGCUUUGCGUCCUGCUGUCCGCCCGUCACAGCCCCCAGUCCCUUCAGCUUCCCUCGUUUGGAGGCCGGCUAUCGCUCGGUUUAGCCCCGUGCGUGUUUUUAAAGGUGGAAAAGCUGAGAAAAAAAUUUGUUCUCUACUUUUACUUUUUUUUUUCUUAGUCGUAUUAAUUUUAUUGGUCUUUUUUUUUUUCUUUUCUUUCUCUUACUUAUACUUCUGUCAAGGUACGUGA